rnacentral:rRNA from 1 species
UACGUAGGGUGCGAGCGUUAAUCGGAAUUACUGGGCGUAAAGCGUGUGCAGGCGGUUUUGUAAGCCAGAUGUGAAAUCCCCGGGCUCAACCUGGGAAUGGCAUUUGGGACUGCAAGGCUGGAGUACGGCAGAGGAGACUGGAAUUCCUGGUGUAGCAGUGAAAUGCGUAGAUAUCAGGAGGAAUACCGAUGGCGAAGGCAGGUCUCUGGGCUGAUACUGACGCUCAUGCACGAAAGCGUGGGGAGCAAACAGG